rnacentral:rRNA from 1 species
GACGAAGGUGGCUAGCGUUAUUCGGAUUCACUGGGCAUAAAGAGCUCGUAGGCGGCUCGUUGCGUCGGCUGUGAAAACCCGCGGCUCAACUGUGGGCUUGCAGCUGAUACGGGCGGGCUGGAGUUCGGUAGGGGAGACUGGAAUUCCUGGUGUAGCGGUGAAAUGCGCAGAUAUCAGGAGGAACACCAGUGGCGAAGGCGACUACCUGGCCUGUUCUUGACGCUGAGGCGCGAAAGCUAGGGGAGCAAACGGG